GGAACACCCCUAUUUUUACCAUUCCCAAAAAGUCUGGAAAGUGGUGUCUUUUACAUGAUCUCCGAGCUAUUAAUGAGGUCAUGGAGGACAUGGGAACGCUACAACCAGGACUCCCAUCCCCUGUCAUGAUUCCAAAAGAUUGGGACAUCGUAAUUAUUGACUUGAAAGAUUGCUUUUUUACAACCUUUUUGCAUCCUCAGGAUGCAGAGAGGUUUGCUUUUACUGUGCCUUCCACCAGUAAGGCCGAACCUGCCAAAUGUUAUCACUGGGUGACUUUGCCCCAAGGCAUGAAAAAUUCCCCCACAUUAUGUCAAAUGUACAUUGCAUGGGCAUUGCAACCUUUCAGAAAGGAACAUCCCCAUUUGCUAGUGUAUCACUAUGUAGAUUAUAUUCUGAUUGCAGGAAAACAAUUGGAGGCAAAUCUGAUUGUGGCUGAGUUGCAGGUACAGCUGGAGAAGCAAGGGUUAAAAAUUGCCCCAGAAAAGGUACAAAAAAGUGAUCCAUGGAAGUAUCUGGGAUGGAUCAUCACCCAAGGAACAGUGCGCCCACAGAAAAUUGAUGUAAACACACAAUUAUCAACUUUAGCAGAUGUGCAGCAACUAAUGGGAGAUAUUCAGUGGGUUAGACCUGUGUGGAAUCACCAACGACGACAUACGUCCUCUUAUGCCACUGCUGGGAAGAUCUACUGAUGCAGAUGAACACAACGAACUCACUGCACUGCAAAAGAAAGCUUUACAAAAAAUAGCAGACAAAGUAGCUUCAGGAUAUAGCAAUUGCAUAAUAGCAGAGUGUGCAGUGACUGUGAUGAUCAUUAACUCAGGAGGGGAAAAACAGCACCCCCUUGGGUUAAUUUGUCAGUUAACAGAUAAUAAGAAACUGAAUAUCUUGGAAUGGAGAUGUGUUGCAUGAAUCUAUCUGAUCACUCAGAAAGCAUCUCUAAACAGCUUUGAGAGAUGAAGGAGCGCAUGUCUCACAUCACCUAUGAUGAGGACAAAUUGUCCAAUUGGCUAGGCAAGUUUGGCAUCACUGGUUGGGUGAAAGAAUUAGUAGUUCAGGGGUUGACACUUUUGAUAGCUAUAAUUUGUUGUGUAUUAAUUGUUAGUUGUGCUUUACAAUGUAUAAUGAAAAUGAUCCACAAAGUUUUCAAACAAAUAUGGAUUGUUCAAAAACAAAACGGGGGAUUUGUAGACUAUUUGAGGAAAAUGGACAUAUUCUGAACAAUCCAUAUUUUUGAGAAACACUAGGCCUUGCUUGUCAUAACUUUAGAGGCUGCAAGCUGUGUGAAAAGCUCUGGGUUUAUACUUACAAACUGUGAAACUAUGCAAUGUUUAUACUUGU